rnacentral:lncRNA from 10 species
AAAACAGGGAGGAUAUGAUUAUAAGUUCAGUUUGUGUUUUUUGUUGAGUGAAUGUCUCCAGCCAUAGAGAUGCAAGUGUAGAUACACAGUAAGAGUAGUAUGAAUGGCAGACACCUUGGAAGGCUAUUUCUUCCUUCAUUCAUUCAGUUGGUCACUCAAUGAACUAUCAUGAAUUGAGCACUACCUCUGUUUCUUAUCAACAAAGGAGACUACGGAAAAGAAGAGUGACUAAGAUCUCUGAAGAAGGGAAAAGCUAGAUGACUGGGCCACAAGAGGAAAAAAAGCAGCAAGACAGCUUGAAUGUGAGGCAACUGUGAAAAGUGCAGGGCAGAGCCACCUGGGUAAAUACAGCCCUGGCUUUCUGGUGAGAGGACUGAAACCAGGAUGUGUCAAGUAACUAGAAUGUGCCUGGACAGAUACUGUAGAAAGCAAACCCAUAAAGUUGUUCAUGAGCUUGUGGAUGCACCUGCCAGCUGUGAAUAAGUGGCUCUAAUCCCAAACAACUUACCUAAAAAGAGCCUGAGGACUGAACUGAACAAUGGUCCACUUUCCAGUCCUCACUGACCACUGGUUGCACACACUCCAGAGAUCUCUCAACCGCAGUGUCAAGGCUUUCAAAU